ACUAACGUUCAAACCGGAUUGAAUGCACUCGUUCUCCUCCUAUCGCGAAAGUUAAGCAGUGUUGGGCGGAGAGUAAUUAUAAAUGGUUGACCAUUUAGAAACUCCGUGUGAUGUUGGGU
rnacentral:rRNA from 1 species